UUGUUCACAGGAAAUAAAAAAAAAAUACUUUAAGGAGCCAUGGAGCAUUUAGAGUAAAAUUGACCAUAUGUUAUACCUCAAAGGAAACCAUAUUCAAUUAUGAAACAUAAAAUGUUUAUAGGCUACAAGCUCUGCCUACAAUGAAAUAAAAUUAGAAAUUAAUAAUGAAAGUAUAAAUGCAAAGCUCAACAACUUGGAAAACAACAAUACUAAAACCAGAAAAUAAAAACUUCUCCUAAAGAACUCUAGGUUCAAAUAGAAAAGCAAUCCUAGUAUAAUAAAUGGUUGGAAAACCAAGAACUCCAUGUAUCCACAUUUUAAAUGACCAAAGCUGUACUUAGCAGAAAAUUAAUAGCCCUAAGAGCUUUCAUUAUUGAAAGAGAGUAAUGAAAUCAUUCUGCAAAAAACAAAAGUUACAGAUUAAUAUAGGAUCCUCUUUUCUAUUAAAUUACACAACAAAAAAAAUAGUAUUCAUUCAAUAAAUUAGGAAUAGAAUCAUCAUACAAAGCAUAUUACAAGGUAUCUAUCAGAUACCUAUAGCAAGGUACCCCUUGCUAUUCCCCUUACUGCCACAAAGGAGUGUCCUUGCUCUUACUACAACUCUUUCAACAUUGUAGAUCAUUGUACAUGAUCCCAGUCAGUGGGUUGAGGUGAGAUUAAAUAUGACUUAUAUAUAUUAGAAAAAAGAGAUAAACCAGUACUCUUCAAAAUGAUGGUUAUUUGUUUCAAAUAUUCAAGAAACUUAACUAAAAAAAACUUUUAAAACUUAUGGAGUUCAGUAAUGUAACUAUUUGUAAGUUUCCAUUAAAACCAGUAAAUUUCUUGUACAUUUAUUAAGAACCACAAACUGUAGGAUUCAGAGGUAAACUAAAAGAAACUAACAGUAACUGUAUAAAGAAUGUUGAACUCUGCCAAAUGGGUAGAUUCUAGUGGUGAAGUGACACCUGGAAGAGGAGAUUGGCAUGGCUUAAGUUUUCCAUCCUGAGGUCAGACUGAUAUGCUUAGUAUCAUAUAGGGUAGCUGAAAUUCUAGGAGGAAACUCACAGCCUUGCAAACUGGAGAGCAGAAUUUUGAGCAGUGGUAGCUACUGGAAAGUGAGGUGGGAAUCUCAGAAAGACAAGACUCAGAAAUGGGGAAACACAAAUUCUUAGUAUAAUUUCUGGUCAAAUCACUGGUGACCCUUGGAACGCUCAUACACAGGUCAGACUCCCAACAGUCAGUGAAUUUGACCAUAGAUCAAUAAUACAUCUUUUCUCUGUGAAGAGACAAUGAGUAAAAAAAAGGAGACUGAAACAAAGCCCAGUUUCAUGGUACUGUGGGACAACAGCAAAAAUUUUAACAUAACUCAUGUCCCAGAAGGACGGGAAAUAGAGAAUGGGGUAUAAACAAAUUUGAAGGAAUAAUGGCCCCAAAGUCUCACAUUUAAUAAUAGAGAUGUAUUUACAUAUUCACAUUACUGAGGCAUAUCAUAAUCAACAUGUUGAUAUCCCAAGACACAAUCUUGGAAACAGCCAAAAAAAACCCCAACGUAGUAUAUACAAGGGAAGUACAAAAGUAUAGAAGCUGGAAGACAGUGGAAUGGUAUCUUUAAUAUUCUAGAAGGAAAAGAAGCUAUCAAUCUAGAAUUCCAUAUCUAAUGAAAUUAUGCUUUGAGAAUGGAGAAGAUAUAAAAUAAGUAAGCUAUAAGAAUACAGCACAGGGAAUAUAGACAAUAUUUUAUAAUAGCUAUGAAUCCAGUACAAUCUUAAAAAUUGUAGGUAAGUAUACAUGUACUUUAAAUAUUUCAUUAUAUAUAAUAUUGUAAAUCAAUUACACCUCAAGCAAAAAACAACAACCAAAGAAAAAUGGAGGCAACAUAAACUCGUUUUCAAAUAAAGAAAAACUGAGAAAAUUUAUUGCCAGCAGACCAAUUUAUACCACAGAAAUGUUAAAGGAAGUUCUUGAGGAUGAAAAGUAAGCUUUGGAAUCUCAGAUACUCAGAUAAGAACAGGGAACUCCCCCUUCUUAACUUCUUUAAGUAAAAAUAGUAACAUUGUCUUGUGAGAUUUAUAAUGCAUACAUGUCACCAGGACUAAAUGAAAAAAAUGU
rnacentral:lncRNA from 1 species